GAGUUGGGUGGAGGGUUGCCUUCUACAAUUUGGCUCGUAGAGUUCCUCUUUUUUAUCGUCUCUAUGUGUGGUCCUACUUCCCUGUAUGGCUGACAAAAGGGCGAUGAUGGUUUGUUGAGAGUAAAGGAAUCAGGAUGCAAGUGUCAAAGAUAAUUAAAAGUCUCAUUUUGCCAAAUGGAUUUAUUUCGACAGUUAGAUAGCGU
rnacentral:misc_RNA from 1 species